rnacentral:rRNA from 1 species
CCCCCUUGAGCGAUAACCCCGGGAACUGGGACUAAUACCCGAUAGGCGAAGACUCCUGGAAUGGGUCUUCACCUAAAAGGUGUUAAGAUCAUGCUUUUUAACAUCGCCCGAGGACGGGGCCGCGACCGAUCAGGUAGUUGGCGAGGCAACGGCUCACCAAGCCUAUAACCGGUACGGGCCGUGGGAGCGGGAGCCCGGAGAUGGGCACUGAGACAAGGGCCCAGGCCCUACGGGGCGCAGCAGUUGCGAAAACUUGUCAAUGCACGAAAGUGUGAACGGGCUACCCCGAGUGCCGUCCGCUGAGGAUGGCUUUUCUCUGCUGUAAGAAGGCGGAGGAAUAAGGAGAGGGCAAGUCUGGUGUCAGCCGCCGCGGUAAUACCAGCUCUCCGAGUGGUAGGGAUGAUUAUUGGGCUUAAAGCGUCCGUAGCCGGCCUUUCAAGUCUUUCGUUAAAUCCAGCGACUAAUCGUUGGACUGCGGGAGAUACUGUUUGGCUAGGGGGCGGGAGAAGCCGACGGUAUUCUCGGGGUAGGGGUAAAAUCCUAUAAUCCCGGGAAGACCACCAGUGGCGUAGGCGGUCGGCUAGCACGCGCUCGACGGUGAGGGACGAAAGCUGGGGGAGCGAACCGGAUUAGAUACCCGGGUAGUCCCAGCUGUAAACGAUGCGGGCUAGGUGUUGGAGCGGCUACGAGCCGCUUCAGUGCCGCAGGGAAGCCAUUAAGCCCGCCGCCUGGGGAGUACGGCCGCAAGGCUGAAACUUAAAGGAAUUGGCGGGGGAGCAC